CUUGGUGGCUCGACGCGAGUGAUACACCCGUUCUCAUUCCGAACACGGAAGUUAAGCCUCGUAGUGCCGAUGAUACUCCUAUGGGGGAAAGUAGGUAGCCGCCAGAA
rnacentral:rRNA from 3 species